UACGUAGGGGGCAAGCGUUGUCCGGAAUUAUUGGGCGUAAAGAGCUCGUAGGCGGUUUGUCGCGUCUGCUGUGAAAACGCGAGGCUCAACCUCGCGCCUGCAGUGGGUACGGGCAGACUAGAGUGCGGUAGGGGAGAUUGGAAUUCCUGGUGUAGCGGUGGAAUGCGCAGAUAUCAGGAGGAACACCGAUGGCGAAGGCAGAUCUCUGGGCCGUUACUGACGCUGAGGAGCGAAAGCGUGGGGAGCGAACAGG
rnacentral:rRNA from 1 species